UUGUGUCUCGCUCCUGCCCCACCUACUUCGUAAGUGGGUAAUUGGCAGCUGUGCUCCAUAAAAAGGAAGCGCGGCUAUCCAGGGCAGACGUCUGCUUUGUCCAGGGACGACUCUGACCGACCUAUCGCCUAUCCCCGACGUUUGGCUGUAGCUUGUUCCACCAUUUGCUCCAGUAACAGAAGUCGCUGCUAUACUGGCUGGAUAUUCUCACGGCUGCUCGUACCCCCGGUGUGCUCAUCAAUUCCAGCUUAGCAACAUCACAGUGUUGCGUGGUCCGGGCUCCCUACAUCUGACGUUAGCUGUUGCAUGGAUCUGUAUGGUAUCCUGAUGUGGUGACGGCCUUGCUGUUUUGUUCCUGUUUGGGGUUUGCUGUGUGGAGCGCCUUCCGCUUCUCUCUGUGGCCUUCCAUCACUGCGUCUCUGAUGCAUGAUUGCUAGC